UACAGAGGGGGCAAGCGUUGUUCGGAAUUACUGGGCGUAAAGAGCUCGUAGGCGGCCUGUUACGUCUGCUGUGAAAUCCCGGGGCUUAACCCCGGGCGUGCAGUGGAUACGGGCAGGCUGGAGGCAGGCAGGGGAGAACGGAAUUCCCGGUGUAGCGGUGAAAUGCGCAGAUAUCGGGAGGAACACCGGUGGCGAAGGCGGUUCUCUGGGCCUGUACUGACGCUGAGGAGCGAAAGCGUGGGGAGCGAACAGG
rnacentral:rRNA from 1 species